GCGCGUGCCCGCCCGGCGCCCUCUAGGGUGGAAGGCUGCGGGCGUCCUACCAGUGCCAGGACUGCCAGAGCGGGAGGAGCGCGGCGCGGGCCAGCCGGGACUGCUGGACAGCGGGGUCCAGGCUAGAGGCGAGCGAGCGGUCCACCUCCUAACAAAUUAUUGGAAGGAAUAUGAGAAAAAGACAAGUGUCACUAUGUUGCCCAGGCUGGAGUCAAACUCCUGGUCUCAAGCGAUCCUCCUGGCUCGGCCUCCCACAGUGCUGGGAUUACAGAUGGAGUUUCACUCUUGUCACCCAGGCUGGAGUGCAAUAGAGCGAUCAUGGCUCACUGCAACCUCUGCCCCCCGGGUUCAAGCGAUUCUCCUGCCUCAGCCUCUCAAGUAGCUGGGAUUACAAGUGCCCACCACCACGCCCAGCUAAUUUUUGUAUUUUUAGUAAAGAUGGGGUUUCACCACAUUGGCCAGGCUGGUCUCUAACUCCUGACCUCACGUGAUUCAUCCAUCUCAGCCUCCCAAAGUGCUGGGAUUACAGGCAUGAGCCACUGUGCCUGGCCUAUACUUAUAUUUUCUUCUGUGAUUUUAAUAUUUUAGUGUUUAUGUUUUGGUCUAUGAUCCAUUUUGAGUAAAUUUUUAUAUUUGGUAUAAGGUAGGGGUCCAACUUUAUUUAUUUUUGAGAUGGAGGCUUACUCUAUUGCCCAGGCAGGCAUGCAAUGGUGCGAUCCAGCUCACUGCAACCUCUGUGUCCCAGGCUCAAGUGAUUCUCCCACCUCAGCCAUCUGAGUAGCUCGGAUUACAGGCCCCAUCACUAUGGUAAUUUUUAAAUUUUUAGUAGAGACGGGGUUUCACCAUGUUGGCCAGGCUGGUCUCGAACUCAUGACCUCAAGUGAUCUGCCCGCCUCUGCCCUACAAAGUGCUGGGAUUACAGGCGUGAGCCACCGUGCCUGGCCUCCAGCUUUAUUCUUUUUUUUUUUUUUUUUUUGAGACAGAGUCUUGUUCUGUCACCCAGGCUGGAGUGCUGGAGUGCAGUGGCGCGAUCUCGGCUCACUGCAAGCUCCGCCUCCUGGGUUCACGCCAUUCUCCUGCCUCAGCCUCCCGAGUAGCUGGGACUACAGGCGCCUGCCACCACGCCUGGCUAAUUUUUUGUAUUUUUAGUAGAGAUGGGGUUUCUCCAUGUUAGCCAGGAUGGUCUCGAUCUCCUGACCUCGUGGUCUGCCUGCCUCGGCCUCCCAAAAGUGCUGGGAUUACAGGCGUGAGCGACCAUGCCCGGCCAACUUUAUUCUUUUAGAUGUGGAUGUCUAGUUGUUCCAGAAGUAUCUGUUAAAAAUGUUACUCUUUCUCCAUUGGAUUAUUUUGGCAACCUUAUAAACAAUCAAUUGACCAUAA
rnacentral:lncRNA from 1 species